GGGGGGAGGAGACGGGAUUGUCUGCCAGACUUUGUUGAGAAAAUACAUGGCAGUUACACCUGACCAGAAAACCAUCUGCCUCUGCCUCGUGGACACACGGCCAAGGCCGGGAUCGGCAUGGGAUGCUCCGACUCAGAAAGCUCUCAGCUAGAGGAUGUCCCAGAAGAGAAAUGGCCGAUUUAGAGCGACUGAAGAAUACCUAUCCUUUGAAACAAAUAUUUAUUUUUUAAUGAUUUUUUUUUCUGGGAAACUGACAGGUCUUGAGAGACAGGAAACGCAUCCAGGUUCUGGGAAGGAGUCAUCCUCUCCAAUCAUAGGAGGUGUAGACACAAGAGCAGGAGUCUGAGCGCCCUGCCGAAAACAGAACUGAAAAUGUGCGAAUGAUUAUCACCGUUGUAAGAAUGAUUAUUACCGUUAACGAGAAUCAGUAUUAUUUUUGCUCACUUCGUACUCUGUUGUCUGGCACACAACGGGUAUUCCAAAAACAGCAACUCUCUGUCAUGACUAUUAUUAAGGCUGUAUUUGAACCUUCACUCCUUAGCUGAGGACCUGGGACACAGGAGGUGCUUAAUAAAUGCCUAUUAAAUACCUGAAUGAAUACCAGGUGCACGAGGUGCUGGGCCGCCGACUCUUCAGAGAUAAGGAUGCUCUUACGCUUUCUUUGGCUCGGCUGUGAAGGAUGCUGCUACGGGCCUGAAAAGUGGGUCCGCUGCCCCGAAGGCUCCCCGGGGAAAAUCAUCGUAGCUGUAGACGCUGUCUGUGGAGCCAGGACUGGAGUAAGCUUUUCGAGCCCUCAGAUUCCCUCCUCGCCAAGGACUGAGCGAGCUUGGCAGGAGGCUGGAGGCUGAUCGUAUAAGGUAGAAUUUAUUAUUCCCCUUUAAGAUGAAGUUAAGUCUAAAAAAGUUUAAAAAAAAAAAAAAAAACAGAGGAACUCAGGUUUGUUUGAGGAGGCAAGGGUUGGUUUGUUUUUUUUUUUUUACGAUUUUUUAUUUUGCUUCUUGUAUUGCAUCUUUUUUUAUUACUCAAUGAAUUUUAUUACAUGCAUAAUUGUACAACAAUCAUCACAACCAAAUUUUAUAGCAUUUCCAUCCCAAACCCUCAGUGCAUCCCUCCACCCCCUAACCUGUCUCAUUUGGAAACUGNCCUCAGUGCAUCCCUCCACCCCCUAACCUGUCUCAUUUGGGAACCGUAAGUUUGUCAAAGUCUGUGAGUCAAUAUCUGUUCUGCAAAGAAGUUCAUUGUGUCCUUUUUUUAGAUUCCACAUGUAAGCGAUGGCAUUUGAUGUUAGUGUCUCAUUGUCUGACUGACUUCACCUAGCAUGAUAAUUUCUAAGUCCAUCCAUGUUGCUGCAAAUGCCAUUAUUUCUUUCCUUUUCAUGGCUGAGUAAUAUUCCAUUGUGUACAUGUAUGGAACUCAAGUUUGAAACCAAUUUCUCUGACUCCAAACAUCAGCCUUCCCUAAACACUACUACUUCCAAUGGAGGGAAAUGAAAGGUCAGACAUCCCAUAUUUUUCCAUGAAGGACUAAAUAGAUCUCUGGUUUGUGUGCCCUUGGAGAAGGUCUUAAGGGGUACAGUGUUUGGUGUUUUUUUUCCCUUUUCACCUUUCCUCCUAACUGUCCAUUGGCCUGAUUCUGUCACAUGAACACACUGGGCACCUUCUCUUAUGAGUCCCUGCUGUUCCCACAUUGUGGCUCCUGGAACCCCCUUUCCCAUCUCUGAAACAGAACAAAAAACUCAGGCCAAAAGCAAAGAAAUUGGCUUCACAUCUGUAACCGCACUGAUGAGCCACGGAGCUUUGGAAAAAUGACUUCACGUCUGUGAUCCUCAGUUUCUUUUUCCUCAGCCAA
rnacentral:lncRNA from 1 species